AACGAACGCUGGCGGCAGGCUUAACACAUGCAAGUCGAACGGGCACUUCGGUGUCAGUGGCAGACGGGUGAGUAACGCGUGGGAACAUACCUCUUGGUUCGGAACAACACAGGGAAACUUGUGCUAAUACCGGAUAAGCCCUUACGGGGAAAGAUUUAUCGCCGAGAGAUUGGCCCGCGUCUGAUUAGCUAGUUGGUGUGGUAAAAGCGCACCAAGGCGACGAUCAGUAGCUGGUCGAGAGGAUGAUCAGCCACAUUGGGACUGAGACA
rnacentral:rRNA from 1 species